rnacentral:rRNA from 1 species
CCUACGGGUGGCAGCAGUGGGGAAUAUUGGGCAAUGGACGCAAGUCUGACGCAGCAACGCCGCGUGAAGGAAGAAGGUUUUCGGGUUGUAAACUUCUGUUAAGGGGGAAGAGAAGAAGACGGUACACCUUGAAUAAGCCACGGCUAACUACGUGCCAGCAGGCGCGGUAAUACGUAGGAGGAAAGCGUGAUCCGGAUUGACUGGGUGUAAAGGGCGUGCAGCCGGGGUGACAAGGCAGAUGUGAAAUCCACGGGCUCAACCCGUGAACUGCAUUGGAAACUGUUUCCCUAGAGUGUCGGAGAGGUAAUUGGAAUUCCUGGUGUAGGGGUGAAAUGCGUAGAUAUAAGGAAGAACACCAGUGGCGAAGGCGAAUUACUGGACGAUAACUGACGGUGAGGCGCGAAAGCGUGGGGAGCAAACAGGAUUAGAUACCCUUGUAGUC